rnacentral:rRNA from 1 species
UCGACUGCAUGAAGCCGGAAUCGCUAGUAAUCGCGGACCAGAAUGCCGCGGUGAAUACGUUCCCGGGUCUUGUACACACCGCCCGUCACACCAUGGGAGUCGGAAAUGCCCGAAGCCGGUGGCCUAACCGAUAAGGGAGGAGCCGUCGAAGGCAGGUCUGAUGACUGGGGUGAAGUCGUAACAAGGUAUC